rnacentral:rRNA from 1 species
CCGACCUAAGUUCCUUGGAACAGGACGUCAUAGAGGGUGAGAAUCCCGUAUGUGACUGGACAGGCACCCUUUGUAAAGCUCCUUCGACGAGUCGAGUUGUUUGGGAAUGCAGCUCUAAAUGGGAGGUACAUUUCUUCUAAAGCUAAAUAUUGGCCAGAGACCGAUAGCGCACAAGUAGAGUGAUCGAAAGAUGAAAAGCACUUUGGAAAGAGAGUCAAACAGCACGUGAAAUUGUUGAAAGGGAAGCGCUUGCAGCCAGACUUGCUUACAGUU